AGUGAACGCUGGCGGUAGGCCUAACACAUGCAAGUCGAACGGCAGCACAGUAAGAGCUUGCUCUUACGGGUGGCGAGUGGCGGACGGGUGAGGAAUACAUCGGAAUCUACUUUUUCGUGGGGGAUAACGUAGGGAAACUUACGCUAAUACCGCAUACGACCUACGGGUGAAAGCAGUGGAUCUUCGGACCUUGCGCGAUUGAAUGAGCCGAUGUCGGAUUAGCUAGUUGGCGGGGUAAAGGCCCACCAAGGCGACGAUCCGUAGCUGGUCUGAGAGGAUGAUCAGCCACACUGGAACUGAGACACGGUCCAGACUCCUACGGGAGGCAGCAGUGGGGAAUAUUGGACAAUGGGCGAAAGCCUGACCCAGCAAUACCGCGUGGGUGAAGAAGGCCUUCGGGUUGUAAAGCCCUUUUGUUGGGAAAGAAAAGCAGCAGGUUAAUACCCCGAUGUUCUGACGGUACCCAAAGAAUAAGCACCGGCUAACUUCGUG
rnacentral:rRNA from 1 species